GACGUAGGGGGCCAGCGUUGCUCGGAAUUACUGGGCGUAAAGGGUUCGUAGGCGGUGUGGCAAGUCGGGAGUGAAAUCUCUGGGCUUAACUCAGAGGCUGCUUCCGAAACUGCCGUGCUAGAGUGCGGGAGAGGCGAGUGGAAUUGCAGGUGUAGCGGUGAAAUGCGUAGAUAUCUGCAGGAACACCCGUGGCGAAGGCGGCUCGCUGGAUCUCUUCUGACGCUGAGGCACGAAAGCUAGGGUAGCGAACGGG
rnacentral:rRNA from 1 species